GAGGGUGUAGCUCAGUGGUAGAGCACAUGCUUAGCAUGCACAAGGUCCUGGGUUCAAUCCCCACACCUCCA
rnacentral:tRNA from 1 species